AUCUCCUACGGGGCGCAGCAGUGGGGAAUAUUGCACAAUGGGGGAAACCCUGAUGCAGCGACGCCGCGUGAGUGAAGAAGUAUUUCGGUAUGUAAAGCUCUAUCAGCAGGGAAGAGAAUGACGGUACCUGAGUAAGAAGCCCCGGCUAACUACGUGCCAGCAGCCGCGGUAAUACGUAGGGGGCAAGCGUUAUCCGGAUUUACUGGGUGUAAAGGGAGCGUAGACGGCGAAGAAAGUCUGAAGUGAAAGCCCGCGGCUCAAC
rnacentral:rRNA from 1 species